AAAUUGAAGAGUUUGAUCAUGGCUCAGAUUGAACGCUGGCGGCAGGCCUAACACAUGCAAGUUGAACGGUAACAGGAAGCAGCUUGCUGCUUUGCUGACGAGUGGCGGACGGGUGAGUAAUGUCUGGGAAACUGCCUGAUGGAGGGGGAUAACUACUGGAAACGGUGGCUAAUACCGCAUAACGUCGCAAGACCAAAGAGGGGGACCUUCGGGCCUCUUGCCAUCAGAUGUGCCCAGAUGGGAUUAGCUUGUUGGUGAGGUAACGGCUCACCAAGGCGACGAUCCCUAGCUGGUCUGAGAGGAUGACCAGCCACACUGGAACUGAGACACGGUCCAGACUCCUACGGGAGGCAGCAGUGGGGAAUAUUGCACAAUGGGCGCAAGCCUGAUGCAGCCAUGCCGCGUGUAUGAAGAAGGCCUUCGGGUUGUAAAGUACUUUCAGCGGGGAGGAAGGUGUUGUGGUUAAUAACC
rnacentral:rRNA from 1 species